AAAGACUUGACGGUACUUCACACCAACCUAGAGGAGCCUGUCUAAUAACCGAUACCCCACGAUUAACCCCACCUGCUCUAGCCCAACAGUCUAUAUACCGCCGUCGCCAGCCUACCUUGUGAAAGAAAUAAAGUAAGCGCAAUAGGACCACCCCUAAUACGACAGGUCGAGGUGUAACUAAUGAGCAGGCAAAAGAUGGACUACAUUUUCUAAUACAGAACACACGAAUAAACUAUGAAACUAGAAACUGAAGGCGGAUUUAGCAGUAUGAUAAGAAUAAAAUACCUAACUGAAACCAAUGCAAUGAAGUGCGUACACACCGCCCGUCAUCCCUG
rnacentral:rRNA from 1 species